rnacentral:misc_RNA from 1 species
GUUAAGAAGAUGUGAUGAGGGGAAUAAAGAAGGUGAAAAGUUAGAAUUUGAUGCUAUCUUCCUUCAAAUUAGGGGAAUGCCAGAAUUCAUGAACAAGAUAAGAAACAGCAAAAAGCCAAAGAAAGAAUCAAGGGAUCCCAUCCCAAAGAUUCCAAAUUUGAUUAUUACCAAGUUAAGCUCAAAAAACAAUGGGCCAAAAUCAAGAUUCUCCAAAGUAAUUACACCAGGAUAAAGCAAAAAACAACCCCAGACAAAGAAUCUUGGAUGUUUCGUUAAUAUGAAAAUUACAAGCUAAUUGUUAUUCAAGUAACACAACUUUUGUCAAUAAUUAAGAAAUUUUCUUUUAUGAAUAACUAAAAAGAAGAGUUUUGG